UCCUCUUGCUUUUUCCCCAGCUGCCUCUCAUCCAUGCCUCAGCCCUGAGAGGAGAUGCGACUUUGUGUGUGACUGUUUGGAUUGCGAUGAUGAACAAGACUGCGGCUACAGCGGGAAGGGAUUCCGGUGUGACUUUGAGGACUCAGGAAUAUGCGGAUGGAAGGACCAGUCCUUGAAUGCAGCAUACAGGUGGGAACGACGUCAGAGAGGUGACACGCUGACGGGAAGCGGGCCGUCCUCUGACUUUACCACUGGAACUGCCUCGGGUUGGUUUAUGGGUGUGACAGAGGUCAAGUCCCAAGGUGUCAAAACCGCAGUCCUUGUGUCACCAAAGAUGCAAGAGUCCUCGCCGACAUGUCGCCUUCGUCUCAGAUAUUUCCUGUGGGAUUCAGGUAAGC